rnacentral:rRNA from 1 species
AGUGAACGCUGGCGGUAGGCCUAACACAUGCCAGUCGAACGGCAGCACAGUAAGAGCUUGCUCUUACGGGUGGCGAGUGGCGGACGGGUGAGGAAUACAUCGGAAUCUACUUUUUCGUGGGGGAUAACGUAGGGAAACUUACGCUAAUGCCGCAUACGACCUACGGGUGAAAGCAGGGGAUCUUCGGACCUUGCGCGAUUGAAUGAGCCGAUGUCGGAUUAGCUAGUUGGCGGGGUAAAGGCCCACCAAGGCGACGAUCCGUAGCUGGUCUGAGAGGAUGAUCGGCCACACUGGAACUGAGACACGGUCCAGACUCCUACGGGAGGCAGCAGUGGGGAAUAUUGGACAAUGGGCGCAAGCCUGAUCCAGCCAUACCGCGUGGGUGAAGAAGGCCUUCGGGUUGUAAAGCCCUUUUGUUGGGAAAGAAAAGCAGCAGGUUAAUACCCCGCUGUUCUGACGGUACCCAAAGAAUAAGCACCGGCUAACUUCGUG